rnacentral:rRNA from 1 species
CCUACGGGUGGCUGCAGUGGGGAAUAUUGGGCAAUGGAGGAAACUCUGACCCAGCAAAGCCGCGUGAAUGAUGAAGGUCUUCGGAUUGUUAAGUUCUUUUCUAAGGGAAGAAGAAAGUGACGGUACCUUAGGAAUAAGCCUCGGGUAACUAAGUGCCAGCAGCGCCGGUAAGACGGAGGCGGCGAGCGUUAUCCGGAAUGACUGGUCGUAAAGGGUGCGUAGGUGGAUUGGCAAUUUAGUAGCGUAACUCCAAGGCUCAACCUAGGCACUACUACUGACACUGCUGUUCUUGAGUGCGGGAGAGGCAACCGGAAUGCGUGGUGUAGCGGUGAAAUGCAUAGAUAUUAGGAGGAACACCAGUGGCGAAGGCGGGUUGCUAGAGUGUAACUGACGCUGAGGCACGAAAGCGUGGGUAGCGAACAGGAUUAGAUACCCUUGUAGUC